UCGCGGCUUAUCACCGGCAGUCCCCUUAGAGUGCCCAACUGAAUGAUGGCAACUAAGGGCGAGGGUUGCGCUCGUUGCGGGACUUAACCCAACAUGUCACCACACGAGCUGACGACAGCCAUGCAGCACCUGUCUUCUGGUCGUAUUGCUACGAAAGAUGUGUCUCCACACCGGUCCAGAGAUGUCAAACCCAGGUAAGGUUCUUCGCGUUGCUUCGAAUUAAACCACAUGAUCCACCGCUUGUGCGGGCCCCCGUCAAUUCCUUUGAGUUUUAGUCUUGCGACCGUACUUCCCAGGCGCGGUACUUAUUGCGUUAGCUCCGGCUCAGCAGGGGUCAAGACCCGCCAAGCCUAGUACCGAUCGUUUACAGCGUGGACUAC
rnacentral:misc_RNA from 1 species